GCAAGUCUGGUGCCAGCAGCCGCGGUAAUUCCAGCUCCAAUAGCGUAUAUUAAAGUUGUUGCAGUUAAAAAGCUCGUAGUUGAAUUUUAGGCCUGGUUGGACGGUCUGCUCUAGGGUUUGUACUGUCCUGACUGGGUCUUACCUUCUGGUGAGCUGUCGUAUUGUUUACUCAGUGCGGCAGGGAACCAGGACUUUUACUUUGAAAAAAUUAGAGUGUUUAAAGCAGGCAUUCGCUUGAAUACAUUAGCAUGGAAUAAUAGAAUAGGACUUUGGUUCUAUUUUGUUGGUUUCUAGGACCGAAGUAAUGAUUAAUAGGGAUAGUUGGGGGCAUUAGUAUUUAAUUGUCAGAGGUGAAAUUCUUGGAUUUAUUAAAGACUAACUUCUGCGAAAGCAUUUGCCAA
rnacentral:rRNA from 1 species